CGAGCUAGAAAGGAGGAAAUAUUGGAAAGGGCGAGCCAUCUUCUAGCGCGUAAGACAAGACUUUUCUGAAUUUGACAAGAUUCUUCUCUCGGGAGUAAAUUGAAAAAAAAUAUCGUAUUUGCAGCUAGGGUUGCAGUUUACCUUGGGGUUGUUUGGUUUCAAACUACAUAGAUCAAGCAUUGUUCUCCGAUAGGACAGGUCUACUUGUUCGGGAAAAGCACG
rnacentral:lncRNA from 1 species